GAUGAACGCUGACAGAAUGCUUAACACAUGCAAGUCAACUGGAAGUUAACUUCGGUUAAUGGAAAGUGGCGGACGGGUGAGUAACGCGUAAAGAACUUGCCUCACAGAUCGGGACAACAUCUGGAAACGGAUGCUAAUACUGGAUAUAAUUAUUUGUUCGCAUGAACAAAUAAUGAAAGCUAUAUGCGCUGUGAGAGAGCUUUGCGUCCCAUUAGCUAGUUGGAGAGGUAACGGCUCACCAAGGCGAUGAUGGGUAGCCGGCCUGAGAGGGUGAACGGCCACAAGGGGACUGAGACACGGCCCUUACUCCUACGGGAGGCAGCAGUGGGGAAUAUUGGACAAUGGACCGAAAGUCUGAUCCAGCAAUUCUGUGUGCACGAAGAAGUUUUUCGGAAUGUAAAGUGCUUUCAGUUGGGAAGAAGCAAGUGACGGUACCAACAGAAGAAGCGACGGCUAAAUACGUGCCAGCAGCCGCGGUAAUACGUAUGUCGCAAGCGUUAUCCGGAUUUAUUGGGCGUAAAGCGCGUCUAGGUGGCUAGAUAAGUCUGAUGUGAAAAUGCGGGGCUCAACCCCGUAUUGCGUUGGAAACUGUAUAGCUAGAGUACUGGAGAGGUAAGCGGAACUACAAGUGUAGAGGUGAAAUUCGUAGAUAUUUGUAGGAAUGCCGAUGGGGAAGCCAGCUUACUGGACAGAUACUGACGCUAAAGCGCGAAAGCGUGGGUAGCAAACAGG
rnacentral:rRNA from 1 species